ensembl:lncRNA
CCUCAUUCUAGCUUUAGGGGCACAAUGGCAGUACUCUCAAAGGUUCUCAUUAAACUUUCCUUUUACAAAUGUUUAUUUUUCAGUCAUUUGGAAAUGCACUGACUUUUCUUUUAAGGACUUUAAGGCUUGCUAACCACUCACAGCUUUCCCCUUCUCACAUGUGCACCUCAGCCAGUUCCUUCUGGAGAGAACCCACCAGGAUGGAGGAGGAGUUUCAUUGACUUGAAAGAAAUGCUGAAACGUCAGUACUUUAUCUGACUUCUUUUGUGUUUGCUCAGUACGUUUUACUGGUUCAGACACCAAAAAACAAAUUUAGUCAACAAAUAGUACUGAUAAUAACAAGAUAUUACAAACUACCCAGUUAUCACUGGGCAUCAAAAACAACCUGGUUCUGGGGGUUUCUGUUCAAUCACCUCUCACCUACAUGCGACAGGCACAAGCAUUGCUUCAUUUCAAAGUCAUGCUGACUGUAAUGAAAAGUGUCAUCUACAAAAGUUUGGGACUGGGAAACAAAAAGCUGGAUAAGUAACAAUAUUACUGAUACUAAAGAAAAAACCUUUUUAGAACAACUGGAGGAACAUUUUGCAUCUUAUUAGGUCAGCUGGCAACAGUCCAGUAACAUGAUUGGGUAUGAAAAAGCAGUUUAGAGAGGCAGAGUUUCUCACGAGUAAAGAUUUGCAUUCGUUCACCAAUCUGCAAAAAGAAAAGGAAGAAAAAAACGUGUCUACGUUUGCAGAAUAAUUUUCCACAGUGUAAAAUUACUGGAAAAAGCUGAAACUCAAUAUUCAUGCCUGUGAUCUUCAGGCCCUCGGGCGGCACUGCUUUACAAACAGAUACGAUGCUUUCAAAGCGCUGCAGAAACCUCCAGAAAUCAGUGUGACCAGAGUUCACCGUCCAUCCACAGACGCAGGUUAAAGCUCUGUCAUAUGAUGAAAAGCUGUAUGUGAGCACCAUCAAGAAAUACUUCUCUGGUCCAAAGCUCAUUUAAAAUGCACUGAGGGGAAGAGGGUUGAAAUAUUCUGGAAAACAUGAAUGCCACAUCCACCCAGGAACCAUCUGGGACAUCUGGAAAGGUACCAUCAGUGCUGAAAGGUAUACACAACACAUGCUCCAAUCCACAUAACAUCUGGAUUGCCAUGAAUGUUCGAGCAAGAUGAUAUUAACCUGUAUACUGCGUCUAUUGUAACAGCAUGGCGUCAUAAAAGAAGAGUCCAAGUGUUGAACCGGCCUGGUGCAGUCCAGACUCUUCAUCUACUGAAACGUUCAUCAUGAAAAACAUGAUAAAGAUGAAUCAGCAUCUCAAAUCUUUGGAACUGAGGUUGUAAUAACGUCACAUCUGAAACUACACGGCGAAUCUUUGUGGUCUGUUUAUUUUGUGACCACAGAGUAAAGAUGUCAUCUGCAGUUGCUGAUCUAUGACAGUUGAAGUUAUGGCUGAAUGCAACAUUUUUCAUCAGCAGUGCUCCUCGUCCUCCCUGCCAGCUCCUGCACCGUCCUUAUGUCCUGUGUCUUCUGUGUUUUAGGGGCUUGAAUCCAGAAGAAAUAAUACAAAUAUGCACCUUUUUCGCUUUAGUAACAUGUAUGUUUGCAGUUCUCGAGGUCUUUGAAGUAAUUAUGACUAACAGGUACAUCUGUUAAGAUUAGACCUGCACACUUUGCUCCUGUGUCUGAGGGAUAUUCUUACACAUGAGUACAGUAAAAUAAAAACUACUUGAGUAAACUGUGGAAGGCACGUCCUGACUGUGUGCAGGAAGUCACAGUCCUGGUGUAGCUGACGCUGAAAUGUUUGUGUGGGUUGCCAUGACAACACCAAAGUGAAUCUGAGAUCGUUAUUGUUUUCUAUUUGUUUUCUUUAUUUGCUUCUCAUGCUUGUGUACAUUUGCAGUAGGAAAGGUAAUCUAUGAAUCCAGUGAUAUAUCCUGCUUAUAAGAAAUGUAAUCUAUGAAUCCAGUGAUAUAUCCUGCUUAUAAGAAAUGUUUCUGUUAAAAUAUUAUUGUGAAGUAGUCACUUCCUGUGAGUUGCGGGAACCGGAAGUUGUGCGCAGGA